GAAGAUACAGCCCAGUGGUAGAGUGCCUGCUUAGCAUGCACAAGGUCCUGGGUCCAAUCCCCAGUACCUCCA
rnacentral:tRNA from 1 species